rnacentral:rRNA from 1 species
GAUGAACGCUAGCGGCAGGCCUAAUACAUGCAAGACGAACGGUAAGUUGAGUAGCAAUACUUAGCCAAGAGUGUCGUACGGGUGCGUAACACGUAUGCAACCUACCCUAUACAGGAGGAUAGCCUAGGGAAACCUGGAUUAACCCUUCAUAGUAUUAUUGGAUGGCAUCAUUUGAUAAUUAAAACUGAGGUGGUAUAGGAUGGGCAUGCGUUUGAUUAGUUAGUUGGCGGGGUAAUGGCCCACCAAGACGAUGAUCAGUAGGGGUUCUGAGAGGAAGAUCCCCCACACUGGCACUGAGAUACGGGCCAGACUCCUACGGGAGCAGCAGUAGGGAAUAUUGGGUCAAUGGAUGCAAGUCUGAACCAGCCAUGCCGCGUGCAGGAAGAAGGCCUUACUGGGGUUGUAAACUGCUUUUGCCAGGGGAUAAAUUUCCAUGCGUGGAAACUGAAGGUACCUGGUGAAUAAGCCACGGCUAACUACGUGCCAGCAGCCGCGGUAAU